rnacentral:rRNA from 1 species
ACGAACGCUGGCGGCGUGCUUAACACGUGCAAGUCGAACGGAAAGGCCCUGCUUGCAGGGUACUCGAGUGGCGAACGGGUGAGUAACACGUGGGUGAUCUGCCCUGCACUUCGGGAUAAGCCUGGGAAACUGGGUCUAAUACCGGAUAGGAGCCAUUUUUAGUGUGAUGGUUGGAAAGUUUUUUCGGUGUAGGAUGAGCUCGCGGCCUAUCAGCUUGUUGGUGGGGUAAUGGCCUACCAAGGCGGCGACGGGUAGCCGGCCUGAGAGGGUGGACGGCCACAUUGGGACUGAGAUACGGCCCAGACUCCUACGGGAGGCAGCAGUGGGGAAUAUUGCACAAUGGGCGCAAGCCUGAUGCAGCGACGCCGCGUGGGGGAUGACGGCCUUCGGGUUGUAAACUCCUUUCGCUAGGGACGAAGCUUUUUGUGACGGUACCUAGAUAAGAAGCACCGGCUAACUACGUG